rnacentral:tRNA from 1 species
GCCUCUGUAGCUCAGUGGUAGAGCGAUCGCCUCGUAAGCGAUAGGUCGAGGGUUCAAUUCCCUCCAGGGGCU